GUUGACACAAUUACAUAUGAUUUUGACCCUUUUGAUGCCUUAAUUAAAUAUGUUUUGGUCCUAUUGAUGUCUUUCUACAUUAUGCCUGUGGCCCUAUAAUGACCCAUAUAUGAUUCAAUUACAUACAAGUUCCAGGCCCUGUAGCCCCAUGGAUAUCUUAAUUACAUAUUUUGACUAUUUGCAGGCCUUAAUAUUUCAUAUAUUUGUUAAUUUUUGUGCUUAAAGUAAUGUUGGGAAAAUUAUUUCAAGCCUUUUUCUUUGGCACUUUUUAAUGACAUAAUUCAUUAUAAUAUUGUUAUACACCAGCACGCUUCCUUUGUUUUGUACAACGACACUUUGAAGAGAAAUCGAGAGAAACAUUAUGCUUUCAUACUAUAAACUUGAACUGUAUAAAAACCAACACCACAGGAUGUCUCAUAACAUAUGUACAAACUCCUAGGUCAAAGGUCAAGGUAAAAAAUUUUGGUUUCAGUUGACAACACCAUGUCCAAUGGUUAAGAUUGUGUCUGCUCUAUAUCUUGAGAACUGUUAUGAUUUUAAAGUUUACACUAAACAUAUGAACUAACACCAGAGGGUGUGUCAUAAUGUAUGCUCAAACUCCUAGGCCAAA
rnacentral:lncRNA from 1 species